rnacentral:rRNA from 1 species
AUUGAACGCUAGCGGCAGGCUUUACACAUGCAAGUCGAGCGAGUGGCGGACGGGUGAGUAAUGUAUGGGAACGUGCCUGAUAGCGGGGGAUAACUACUCGAAAGGGUGGCUAAUACCGCAUACCAUCGGAUCAGCCCAUAUGGGAUUAGCUAGUUGGUGGGGUAAAGGCUCACCAAGGCGACGAUCCCUAGCUGGUCUGAGAGGACGACCAGCCACACUGGGACUGAGACACGGCCCAGACUCCUACGGGAGGCAGCAGUGGGGAAUUUUGGACAAUGGGCGCAACCCUGAUGCAGCCAUCCCGCGUGUAUGAAGAAGGCCUUCGGGUUGUAAAGUACUUUCAGCAGGGAAGCGUUAUCGGCAGAAUAAGCACCGGCUAACUCCGUGCCAGCAGCCGCGGUAAUAC